CCACCAUCUUCAUUCUUUCAUCCCUAUUCUAUCCAAAUCCCUUAUGCAAGAGUCAAACAGCAUCUUCAUUAUUUCAUCCCUGUACUGUCCAAAUUCCUUAUACAAGAGUUUACCAGCAUCUUCAUUCUUUUAUCCCUUCCACUGGUAAACUCUGAAACAGCAAUAGCCUCCCUUUGUCUGUAUUUUUACUCCUGCUCAUCCCUAUACUAUCCUGAUCCCUUAUGCAAGAGUUGAGCAGCAGCAUCUUCAUUCCUUCAUCCAGCAGGGAGUUCUCCAGGCACACGCCAGCAUUGCCGCCAAGGACUUCACACUGCACUGCCCGAAACACCCGUCGAGGGUGAUGAGGAUGAGGAGACAGUCAAGAUUGUGCAGUGGGUGAAGAGCAAUGAGCCAAUGGGAGCCACCAUCAAGCAGGACGACCACUCCGGAGCCAUCAUCAUCACCCGCAUCAUGCAUGGCUGACUGCUCCGGCCUCAUCCAUGCUGCCGACGAGGUGCAGGGGUCAACACCUUCAAUGUGGAGGGCAAGACACCGGCGGAUGUCCACAAGAUGCUGGUGCAGGCGGAGGGCACCAUGACCUUCAGGCUGCUCCCGGCCAGCAGCUCGGUGCACCUCAGGGAGAGCAAGGUGAGGGUGCACGCCUACUUCCACUAUGACCCCAAGGAGGACAACAAGCACAUUCCCUGCAAGGAAGCCGGGCUGCCCUUCAACAAGCUGGACAUCCUGCACAUUGUGACCCAGGAUGACCCCUACUGGUAAGCCCUGGUGACCUCAUAAUGAAGCUUUGUGGCUCUCAGGUGAUCCAGUGUCCCGCUUGGCCUGCCCCACUCAUGGGGAGCUAUGCGGCUCAGGCCAACUGAGUGCUGGUGUGUGACAUUGCCCCUGCAGCACCCUGCUAGACCAGAGGACUUGACCGCUGCAGUGGUGCAUUCCGUCCACUGGUGAGUCACACAGCUCCCCGUGGGUGUGGGGGUGAAACACACUGACACUGGAUCAGCUGGGCGCACCAAACACAGCGUUCCACACAGCAGCCCCAUCACAGUGCUCCCCCAGCAGCUCUUAUAGGCGACCCUUUACUGAAAACAACAAUCACAGUCAAAGGAAACAUUUGUAGAAGGUGCUGCAAAGGUGUCACUGGCCACUCACAUAACUACAUCGUCUGCCUUAUGUACAAACACUGCCCCCCGUCUGCACAACAACAGGCCAGCCCGAGGCAGGGCUGCUGCAGCACCAGAGGGGGCUGCCGUGUGUCUCGCUGGGUGUGGUGGUGGGGGUGGCAGUGGUCACGGUGGCAGAGGUCUGGGCUUUCAGUGAGCAAACACACUCCCAACAUCUGUAUUCAAUAGAGAGCACACACAGU